UAAUUAUUAAUAUUGCAUAUUAUCGGAAGAAAAUUUUAUUAUUAAUGAAAAAUAGAAAUAAAAGGUAGAAGAAUAAAUAGUUUUAUUGUUUCAUAAUAAAAAUAAUUAUUUUUGGAGUUGAUAUGUCGUCUUUUAUGAUAACUUUUUUAGAAGAAAAUAUUAGAAAAUUAUAUGUUUAAUUAGAAUGUUUAGGAUAUUAAUAAUUUGUAGUGUUUAUUAUUGUAGUUUUUCAACUUGUUCUUUUUUAGUUAUUGUUAUUUUUAUUAUUAUUUAGUAAAUUUUUAUUAAAUAAAAAAUUUUUGAAUUAGUAAAUUAAAUAAAUAAGAUUAAUUGUUAUAAUUUAAUAAAAGAACUUGAAGUCGUGAUCAAAUGUUUUUUAAAGACUUAGGUUUUAAAUUAAAGCUGACUUCUGCCCUAUGAUGAUUGUAAAUGGCCGUCUUAGCGUGAGGACACUAAGGUAGCAAAAUAAUUUGUGCUUUUAAUGGGUUCCAGUAUGAAUGGAGUUAUUGGUUGGUUCUUUUUAUAUUUUAUUGUUGAAUUUAAUAUCUAUUUAAUAAAAAAUAGGUAUACUUAUACAAAGAUAAGUCUUCGGAAAUUCUAUUAUCAAUAUUUCAUGAGUUAUGUUGGUAAGUUUUCUAGGGUAGAAUAUUAUAUAAUUUUUUAUUACUAUUGAUAUUUAAAAGAAUUUCUUCGGAGUUAACAGAAAAUCAUACCUGAUCUAGUUCUUAUAGUAAGGUUAGUUUUACAUCGAUGUUGUAUUCCAAUAUUCUAAAAAAGGAGAAAGUUUAGUAAUUUAAGAUUGUUCUUCUUUUAAAUAAUUGGACUUGAUAUUAGUUUAAUUCAUUGUGAAAUAGAAUUGUUUAUCUUGAUAAGUAUUUUUUAUUAAGAUGUUGAGUACGAAAGGAAAGACAUAUGAAUUUGAAGUUUUAUAAAAUUUAU
rnacentral:rRNA from 1 species